UCCCAGUCCUUGUGAUAUGCAUGAAAAGA
rnacentral:piRNA from 1 species